rnacentral:rRNA from 1 species
GACGAACGCUGGCGGCGUGCCUAAUACAUGCAAGUCGUACGCAUCUUUUUCACCGGAGCUUGCUCCACCGAAAAAGAUGAGUGGCGAACGGGUGAGUAACACGUGGGUAACCUGCCCAUCAGAAGGGGAUAGCACUUGGAAACAGGUGCUAAUCCCGUAUAAUAGUUUGACCCGCAUGGGUUGAAUUUGAAAGGCGCUUUUGCGUCACUGAUGGAUGGACCCGCGGCGUAUUAGCUAGUUGGUGAGGUAAUGGCUCACCAAGGCAACGAUACGUAGCCGACCUGAGAGAGUGAUCGGCCACAUUGGGACUGAGACACGGCCCAAACUCCUACGGGAGGCAGCAGUAGGGAAUCUUCGGCAAUGGACGAAAGUCUGACCGAGCAACGCCGCGUGAGUGAAGAAGGUUUUCGGAUCGUAAAACUCUGUUGGUAAAGAAGAACAAGGGUGAGAGUAAAAAGUUCACUCCUUGACGGUAUUUACCCAGAAAGCCACGGCUAACUACGUGCCAGCCGCCGCCGUAA